rnacentral:ncRNA from 4 species
GACGAAGGGGGCUAGCGUUGUUCGGAAUUACUGGGCGUAAAGCGAGUGUAGGUGGUUGUCCAAGUUGGAUGUGAAAGCCUUGAGCUCAACUCAAGAAAUGCAUUCAGGACUGGGCGGCUAGAGGACCGGAGAGGAUAGUGGAAUUCCCAGUGUAGUGGUGAAAUACGUAGAGAUUGGGAAGAACACCAGUGGCGAAGGCGGCUAUCUGGACGGUUUCUGACACUAAGACUCGAAAGCGUGGGGAGCAAACAGG